GUGAGUUAAUUUUUAUGAUUUGAUAAUCUUGAAUGAAGUGGGUUAUGUUCCAAUCCGCGAAUUGGUAUGAAAUUGAUCAUUUAUAUGUGUUAGAUUCACCAUAUAGGGCAUGGAUUAUGCAUGGUUUAGGUUAAUUUGAUGUCUAGGGGUGAAACCCGUUUGUUAUUGUGAGGAUGACGACUUGAGUCACCACCUAUGCCCAAUUCUUGUUGAAAGAUUGAUGUAAUAUGCUGGUAUGAUGAAUUGUUGUUAGAUGAUUGAAUGAAAUGCGAUGAUAAUAUGGUUGAUUUUUAAUUUUAAAUACAACAUGUUGAUGAGUAGAAGGAUUUGAUGAACUAUGUAUGAAUUUAGAAGAUUAUGCAUGAAUUAGUUGUACGUUAUGCUUAAAAGGUGGUACGCGCGCCAAGUGUAUGAUGAGAUGCUUAAGUGAAGUUAGGAAGCAAAAUGUUAUGAAAAAGCUUGGUGUAUAUAAGAAUGAAAUACGAAAAUGAUGGUAUGAUCAUGUUAAAUUAGUAAUUUGAAUAUGGUUGUAAGCACAUUUGCAUCGAGAGUAGGUAAUGUAUAUGGUGCCUUUUUGUAUAGCCUACUUUGAUAUUACGAGUAGAUGAGAAUAAGUCGAAAGUUCACAUAAUGAAUUGUUGACUUCUGAAAGUCAACUACGUAUAGGGAGCAUGAUAUGACUUCUUGCCAUAAAAAUAAGACUAUAGGAAGUCGUAAGUUACAUGUUAUGCCGAUACGUGAUAUUGGUGAUGGCAUGACGAAUUUCAUGAGUUUGAAAAAUAUAUGAAUUUGAUUAUAUGUCUUAUGCUUGUUGAUUGUGACUAAAGUAAGUCGAACGUGAAAUAUGAGAUUGAUAUGAUUGUUAACAUGUACAAACAAGUAAGCUAACAAGAGUGUGAUUUCGACGAAAUGGAAGUAUAGGAAUCAAGUUGAGACGGGCUCAAUCACGAGGUGUUGACGGGUCAAGAGGAAGCAAGGGAUCGGAUAUGAACACGGAUGCAUGAGGUAAGCGAUUUCCGUAGUCACUUCUUAGUUUGUUUAAGUAAUAUAAUGCUUUAUUUAAUUAGACAUGAUGUUUGAUGUCAAUUAUGUGUUGAAGUCUUUCGUUGUGCAUAAUGGGAAUACAGUUGAUUAAAACGCCCUUGAUGGGUAUAUUGGGCGAACAAUCUUAAAAGUAGACUAUAAGGAAGCUAUUCGAUUAGUGUAAUGGUUUUGGUCAAGUGUGAAAAUGUGGAGUAUGGUUUUGUAUGUCACAAACCACUUAAUGCGUAAAUACCCAUAACGGGUCAAAAUAAGCUUUUGAGCGAAAAUGCGCUAAGAGUAGGCAAGACAUCCAAGAAUUCAAUCCUUUAUGAUAAAUAAUGUUGAUAUUAAAAGGCUCAUGAGGAGUCGAGGUUAAAUAGUCAGAUUAUUUCUAAUAAAUGCAAGAACGGGUCAAAACUUGUAAAAAGGUAAUAAGUCGAUAGUGCGUAAGAUAAGAAUUUUCUUAAUCCGGGUAUGGGAUUUCAAGUAUAUAUGAUAGAUUGUGAAUUUGCAAGCAUGUAGGAAGAAACGGGAGGUUAAACGGACAAUCGGGUUAAAAGUUAUGCGAGUUUUAGUGUGUUCGAACGAUAAAAACAACACAGCAUGAAAACCAGCAUUUGAGAGGCCGUCACCGACGCCCCUAGGGCCGUCGCCGACGCCUCAUGCAAAACCAGUUUUCUCCGACGCUCUAAUUUGCUGUCUACGGACCCCCACCCGACGGACAAAACUAGAGGGCGUCGCCGACGGUACGAUGAGGCGUCGGCGACGGUGCCUCUGUUCCUGACUUCUGUUUUCGCCGUUUCGCCCUCCCGGUUGAUCUUAUUUUCCACCCGCUGCUUCGUAAAGUUUCAAAAAGGCUUCGUAAACUUUGUCAGACUUAAGAAAGCACCAACCUUAUUAAAUAGGUAACUAAGAACUCAAGUUCAUGUGAGGGUGUGGAUCUAUAAACAAUUAAAUUGUGUGGUCGAAUGUGUUAGAACGUGUUAUACGGGUGAGAAGAUAAAACUCGUUCAUAAGGAUGCUUAUAGAUAAAUUAUUGCGCGUGAUUAAAGUACAAUAAUUAAAGGUGGUUGGGUGAGUAUGAUUCGAAUGCUCGUAUGGAGGCAUAUGAUUGUAGAGUGUAAGAGUUAGCUUCCAAUGUUAAUGUAAUACGUAUGUAUGAAACAAAUAUGUAUUUUGUGGAUAUAUGGUAGCGUCCACACAUGGGUAAAUCAAUGUUAUAUGUUUAUGUGAAGACGUAAGUUUUCAAUACGUUGGGGAAUAAGCAUUGCUAACUGUUUUUUUUCGAGAAUGGUCUUAGAAAUGCAGGUAUGUAAGUGAUGGAUUCACGAAGGCUGGAGUCCUGGUGUACGGAACGAAUUCGAAGAACGCGCUAUUGGGGUUAGUCAGAUCAUCAUUAUUACCAUGGGAGAUAAGUGGACAACAAUCGAGUUGAAGGUCAUAGAUUGCACGGGGAAGUGGCGAUAUAGAUGUAAUUAUAUGUUAAUGCAGUUUUUGGUCUAUAACGAAUGAUGUAUUUAAGUUAAAGAAAGAUUGACUUAAAUGAUUUAAGGCACAUUAGAAACAACUAUAAAGGAAGAAAUUUUA
rnacentral:lncRNA from 1 species